AUUGAACGCUGGCGGCAUGCUUUACACAUGCAAGUCGAACGGCAGCGCGGGGCAACCUGGCGGCGAGUGGCGAACGGGUGAGUAAUACAUCGGAACGUACCCAGAAGUGGGGGAUAACGUAGCGAAAGUUACGCUAAUACCGCAUACGUUCUACGGAAGAAAGUGGGGGACCUUCGGGCCUCAUGCUUUUGGAGCGGCCGAUGUCUGAUUAGCUAGUUGGUGAGGUAAAGGCUCACCAAGGCGACGAUCAGUAGCUGGUCUGAGAGGACGACCAGCCACACUGGGACGGAGACACGGCCCAGACUCCUACGGGAGGCAGCAGUGGGGAAUUUUGGACAAUGGGCGCAAGCCUGAUCCAGCAAUGCCGCGUGAGUGAAGAAGGCCUUCGGGUUGUAAAGCUCUUUUGUCAGGGAAGAAACGGCCGAGGCUAAUACCUUUGGCUAAUAACGGUACCUGAAGAAUAAGCACCGGCUAACUACGUGCCAGCCGCCGCGGUAA
rnacentral:rRNA from 1 species